UACAGAGGUCUCAAGCGUUGUUCGGAUUUACUGGGCGUAAAGGGUGCGUAGGCGGCGCUGUAAGUCGGGUGUGAAAUCUUGGAGCUUAACUCCGAAACUGCAUUCGAUACUGCCGUGCUUGAGGACUGGAGAGGAGACUGGAAUUUACGGUGUAGCGGUGAAAUGCGUAGAUAUCGUAAGGAAGACCAGUGGCGAAGGCGGGUCUCUGGACAGUUCCUGACGCUGAGGCACGAAGGCCAGGGGAGCAAACGGG
rnacentral:rRNA from 1 species